CCUACGGGAGGCAGCAGUGAGGAAUAUUGGUCAAUGGACGAGAGUCUGAACCAGCCAAGUAGCGUGAAGGAUGACUGCCCUAUGGGUUGUAAACUUCUUUUAUAUGGGAAUAAAACGUUCCACGUGUGGGAUUUUGUAUGUACCAUAUGAAUAAGGAUCGGCUAACUCCGUGCCAGCAGCCGAGGUAAUACGGAGGAUCCGAGCGUUAUCCGGAUUUAUUGGGUUUAAAGGGAGCGUAGGUGGAUUGUUAAGUCAGUUGUGAAAGUUUGCGGCUCAACCGUAAAAUUGCAGUUGAAACUGGCAGUCUUGAGUACAGUAGAGGUGGGCGGAAUUCGUGGUGUAGCGGUGAAAUGCUUAGAUAUCACGAAGAACUCCGAUUGCGAAGGCAGUUCACUGGACUGCAACUGACACUGAGGCUCGAAAGCGUGGGUAUCAAACAGGAUUAGAUACCCUUGUAGUC
rnacentral:rRNA from 1 species